GGCCUAGAUCCAUAUAACCACUGUCUCCAUAACUUAGGUGUAUACAGCAAUCCUUAUGGUUAUCUGCCAAGGGGCUCAGGGCUCUGGAAGGUGAAUAGGGUCUGGAGGCUUCUGUGGGGUUUGAGCUGUCUUUAGGUGUGCAGCCUAGUCUUGGGGCAUCUCUUUGGAUUGGGCUGACACUCUGUGGGUAGAUUUUCCAACAGGUGGACUUCAAUAAGCGGCCAGGCCGCAUGAGCUCCAAGCCCAUCAACUUCUCUGUGAUCUUGAAGCUGUCCAGCACCAACCUGCAGGAGAAGGCAUACCGGGAUGGUCUGCUGGAACAGCUGUAUGACCUUAUUAUGGAAUACCUGCACGGCCAGGCCCACAGCAUCGCUUUCCCGGAGUUGGUGCUGCCUACUGUUCUACAGCUGAAAUCUUUUCUCCGGGAGUGCAAAGUG
rnacentral:lncRNA from 1 species